AGUUGGGAGUGCGUCAUUGACUAG
rnacentral:miRNA from 1 species